rnacentral:rRNA from 1 species
CACGCCCUAAACGAUGUCAACUAGCUGUUGGGGGUUUGAAUCCUUGGUAGCGUAGCUAACGCGAGAAGUUGACCGCCUGGGGAGUNACGCGAAAAACCUUACCUGGUCUUGACAUGUACAGAACUUUCCAGAGAUGGAUUGGUGCCCGAAAGGGAGCUGUAACACAGGUGC